rnacentral:lncRNA from 1 species
AGUAACCAGAGAAAGGGGAGGGGAGGGCAAAGGGAGAAGAGCAGGAACACCCCACAUCGUCACUGCUGCCAGCGGUCCUGAGAAGGAAGACAACAGGAAAUGCUCAGUCAGUGCCCUGUCCAGAAUCUUCAAAGGCCAAUGCGUAUAUUCUAGGUGGAGUUGAGUGUGCAAGCUGACUCACCAUAGCAACCCGUUCUACUCUCUGGACCAGCACACUGUCCUGCCUCUGCACAGAGAGC